rnacentral:snRNA from 1 species
GGAUGUGAGGGCAAUCUGACAGCAACAUCUGUCACCCCAUGAAUCUCCCAGGUUCACUGGGUUGAUCUAUCUGGUUGGGCAGGUAUCCCUUCCUCCCUCGCCACUCUAUGUGCAUCCCUCCUAUACCUGCACACUUGGUCAAAGAGGACGAUCAAAAGACUGUUCUUCAGCCAGAGGUAUCUGAGUGGUUGUGCUCCCCUGCUGGAAGCUCCAAACUCUCAGGGUCCAUCCAUAGGAAAACAUAUGGUAGUCAAGUUUCCAAGACUAGACUCUUCCAAAUGAGACACUGUGUGUGGCAGUCUGUCUUUCUUA